rnacentral:rRNA from 1 species
AGAGUUUGAUCAUGGCUCAGAACGAACGGUGGCGGCGUGGAUAAGACAUGCAAGUCGAACGGGACUUUCAGUGUAGCAAUACAUUGAAAGUUCAGUGGCGUAAGGGUGCGUAACACGUGGGAAAUCUGCCGAGAAGUGGGGGAUAGCUCGCCGAAAGGCGAAUUAAUACCGCAUGUGGUCAGCGAAGACAUCUUCGCGAAACCAAAGCCGGGGCAACCUGGCGCUUCUUGAUGAUCCCGCGGCCUAUCAGCUAGUUGGCGGGGUAAAGGCCCACCAAGGCUAUGACGGGUAGCUGGUCUGAGAGGACGACCAGCCACACUGGAACUGAGACACGGUCCAGACACCUACGGGUGGCAGCAGUCGAGAAUUUUUCUCAAUGGGGGAAACCCUGAAGGAGCGACGCCGCGUGGAGGAUGAAGGUCUUCGGAUUGUAAACUCCUGUCAUUAGGGAACAAAUCUUCCAAAUAACUACUGGAAGUCUGAUAGUACCUGAAGAGGAAGAGACGGCUAACUCUGUGCCAGCAGCCGCGGUAAUACAGAGGUCUCAACCGUUGUUCGGAUUCAUUGGGCGUAAAGGGUGCGUAGGCGGCGGGGUAAGUCAGGUGUGAAAUCUCGGGGCUCAACCCCGAAACUGCACUUGAUACUGCCUCGCUUGAGUACUGGAGAGGAGACUGGAAUUUACGGUGUAGCAGUGAAAUGCGUAGAUAUCGUAAGGAAGACCAGUGGCGAAGGCGAGUCUCUGGACAGUUACUGACGCUGAGGCACGAAGGCCAGGGGAGCAAACGGGAUUAGAUACCCUAGUAGUCC